GGAGGGAUGCCACCCCGCUUGUUGGCAAAAUGACCAAAAUGCAUGCCCCUUGUUAACCUUUCAUCCCCUCUCUCCACCCCCUAGUAGCAGAGAGAACCUAGUCAAGUCUCUUCUGCCUGACUCAUUGAUCCUUUAUCUGACUGAGGUUUGUGCAAGUUAGAAUCUACGGCCCCGACCACGGCUCUGAAAUAUCAGCAGCCUAACUGUGUAUUGAUAAAUACAUGUCGCACUCCGUAGUGCUAAAGUAGUAGACAGAUUUGUAAUUGCGACCU